AUUGAACGCUGGCGGCAUGCCUUACACAUGCAAGUCGAACGGUAACAGGUCUUCGGAUGCUGACGAGUGGCGAACGGGUGAGUAAUACAUCGGAACGUGCCCGAGAGUGGGGGAUAACGAGGCGAAAGCUUUGCUAAUACCGCAUACAAUCUCAGGAUGAAAGCAGGGGACCGCAAGGCCUUGCGCUCACGGAGCGGCCGAUGGCAGAUUAGGUAGUUGGUGGGGUAAAAGCUUACCAAGCCGACGAUCUGUAGCUGGUCUGAGAGGACGACCAGCCACACUGGGACUGAGACACGGCCAAGACUCCCACGGGAGGCAGCAGUGGGGAAUUUUGGACAAUGGGCGCAAGCCUGAUCCAGCCAUGCCGCGUGCAGGAUGAAGGCCUUCGGGUUGUAAACUGCUUUUGUACGGAACGAAAAGACUCUGGUUAAUACCUGGGGUCCAUGACGGUACCGUAAGAAUAAGCACCGGCUAACUACGUGCCAGCCGCCGCCGUAAGAC
rnacentral:rRNA from 1 species